GCAUAACGCGAAGAACCUUACCAGGUCUUGACAUCCCUCUGCCGUGGAAACACGGCUUCCCUUCGGGGCAGAUUCACAGGUGGUGCAUGGCUGUCGUCAGCUCGUGUCGUGAGAUGUUGGGUUAAGUCCCGCAACGAGCGCAACCCUCGUCGCAUGUUGCCAGCAUUUAGUUGGGGACUCAUGCGAGACUGCCGGUGACAAACCGGAGGAAGGCGGGGAUGACGUCAAGUCAUCAUGCCCCUUAUGUCCAGGGCUACACACGUGCUACAUUGGCGCGUACAGAGGGCAGCGAUACCGCGAGGUGGAGCGAAUCCCAUAAAGCGCGUCUCGGUUCGGAUUGCAGGCUGAAACUCGCCUGCAUGAAGGUGGAGUUGCUAGUAAUCGUGGAUCAGCACGCCACGGUGAAUACGUUCCCGGGUCUUGUACACACCG
rnacentral:rRNA from 1 species